rnacentral:rRNA from 1 species
UGCCAGCAGCCGCGGUAAUACGGAGGGGGUUAGCGUUGUUCGGAAUUACUGGGCGUAAAGCGCACGUAGGCGGAUCAGAAAGUUAGGGGUGAAAUCCCGGGGCUCAACCCCGGUACUGCCUCUAAAACUCCUGGUCUAGAGUUCGAGAGAGGUGAGUGGAAUUCCGAGUGUAGAGGUGAAAUUCGUAGAUAUUCGGAGGAACACCAGUGGCGAAGGCAUCUCUCUGGGUCGAUAUUGACGCUGAGGCGCGAAGGCGUGGGUAGCGAACGGGAUUAGAUA